GAUGAAGAACGCAGCGAAAUGCGAUAAGUAAUGAGAAUUGCAGAAUUCAGUGAAUCAUCGAAUCUUUGAACGCACAUUGCGCCCGCCAGUAUUCUGGCGGGCAUGCCUGUUCGAGCGUCAUUACAACCCUCAGGCCCCCGGGCCUGGCGUUGGGGAUCGGCGGAGCCCCCCGUGGGCACACGCCGUCCCCCAAAUGCAGUGGCGGUCCCGCCGCAGCUUCCAUCGCGUAGUAGCUAACACCUCGCGACUGGAGAGCGGCGCGGCCACGCCGUAAAACACCCAACUCUUCUGAAGUUGACCUCGAAUCAGGUAGGAAUACCCGCUGAACUUAAGCAUAUCAAUAAGCGGAGGA
rnacentral:misc_RNA from 1 species